ensembl:misc_RNA Metazoa_SRP Metazoan signal recognition particle RNA
GCUGGGCGUGGUGGUGCACGCUUGUAGUCCCAGCUACUUGGGAAGCUGAGGUGAGAGGAUCGCCUGAACCCGGGGAGGUUGAGGUUGCAGUGAGCUGAUCCUGCCACUGCACUCCAGCCUGGGUGACAGAGUGAGACCCUGUCUCAC